ACUCCUACGGGAGGCAGCAGUGGGGAAUAUUGCACAAUGGGCGCAAGCCUGAUGCAGCCAUGCCGCGUGUAUGAAGAAGGCCUUCGGGUUGUAAAGUACUUUCAGCAGUGAGGAAGGCGGGUGUGUUAAUAGCACAUUCGUUUGACGUUAGCUGCAGAAGAAGCACCGGCUAACUCCGUGCCAGCAGCCGCGGUAAUACGGAGGGUGCGAGCGUUAAUCGGAAUUACUGGGCGUAAAGCGCAUGCAGGCGGCCUGUUAAGUCAGAUGUGAAAGCCCGGGGCUUAACCUCGGAAUUGCAUUUGAAACUGGCAGGCUAGAGUCUUGUAGAGGGGGGUAGAAUUUCAGGUGUAGCGGUGAAAUGCGUAGAGAUCUGAAGGAAUACCAGUGGCGAAGGCGGCCCCCUGGACAAAGACUGACGCUCAGAUGCGAAAGCGUGGGGAGCAAACAGGAUUAGAUACCCUGGUAGGAUAGCG
rnacentral:rRNA from 1 species